rnacentral:lncRNA from 1 species
UCUUCAUAGAACGAAACUAAUUGGCAAUAGUGUUGCUUUGACGUCAUUAGGGUUACAUGUUUCAAUACCCCAAUUCUCAACAAUAAGUUCUUGUAAACUACACAAAUGAAGUUGCUAUCGUAGUUCAUGUUUACUUAGAUUUAUUUUUUCAUGCUGAGAGAUAUGAUUUCAGAAAUUACUGAAGGAAUUAUUUUUGAAUUAAUGUUCACUUAUCAAUUAAGUUGAUCCGUUCAUGGUAAGGUUCUCCCUAAUCUCCCUUCAAUUUCCCAGCCCCAAAAUUAUACAAGCAACUCACACCCUCAACCUGUAUAUAUAGAUAUAGGCAUGUGUGACCUGGGUAUAAACCACAAGUUAUAAGAUAUUCUUCACGUAUACAGAAAAUAAAUCACAAAGCAAUUCAUCAUGUCUCAGCCAAAUGCUCAAGCCUGUCUAGCCAAAGGUGGAUCAAAUUCAAAUCCACCAGUUAGUCGGCCUCCGGCGACUCAGCCAAAUGCUCAAGCCUGUCUAGCCAAAAACAGAGGGAGAUAAUUAAGCGCAUACAAAGUGCUGUGCGCAACAGAACUUUAAGCUACUUGUUUGUGUUUCUGUGUCAUAUGUUGCUCAUACAUAUAUAGUAAAUAAGGGGUUCAUUUCAUACCAUCUUUCCUCUGGUAUUCUCUUCGUUCCAAAUAAUUUACCAUUUCUAUCUCAGUCUCCAUUCGGCCAUCGACCUCCGAAAGAAAUUACCAAAAGGUGAAGGUAGUUAGCAAAUGGGCCACAUAUAUAGUAGAAUUAUUAUACAAUUGUUUCUAUUCAUUGUAGAAAUUGAUGUACUCUAUUGAAUUUAAUUUUUGUUUCAGUUGUACUAUGAUAUAAGAAUAAUACUUGUAAUAUAUUAUUUGAUUUUGUUUAUAUAUGACAGAUUAAUCUUCAAUUGUGGAUUUUUAAAUUGUGCUCUUGUUCUUCAAUUUUCUAACUAACAAUUAAAACGUUGAUAUGCACUAUUGCAUGAUUUGCCUCUCCCUAGAUAAACCAUGAACCAUAACAGUUAUAUCUUCCAAGCUAAUUACAUGCCGACUUAAAAGAUCACCGGCCAAUUAAGCAUUACAAUAGCUACCGGAAGAACCAGUACAAGAAAAUAGAGAAUAUAUGCUCAGUUGGCUAAAAUGGAAGAUAUAGUUAGUUUGAACCUUUGUAUGAUUAAGAACAUUUCCAAUUUAUCCAUCAAUUUUUUGUUCUUAUUACUAACUAAAUACUCUUUGGGUUCGUUUGACAUGCAUGGAGACGAUCCCCGAUCUGGUUUUACUUUUGGCAAUGAGUUUUGAUGCACAACCUUUCUUGCAAUUAGAUAGAUUCAAAAGGGAUGAACCUGGUGAUAUUGAUUCUUGUUCAUCAUAUAUCACUGAUUAACAUGAUGAACUUUAAGUGGAUGGAGGUGUAUCUUUGAUAGCGGUAACAUAGUCCACAGUGUACUCUGUAGUACUAAUAUUAUGCAUACAUGCAACAAACCCUAACACAAGGCCGUUCGGAGACUUUCUCCAUCGGGUUGAGUUGAAAGACGCUCCAAUGUGGGAGCAAGAUAAAGAAACUGAAGACUAUUUCUGACGUACGGUAUAGCGAUCCACCACAUCGGGUAGUUUAUGACGGCCGGGCUAGCUUGCGUAAACAGCACUCAACCACCGUCUCUGAAAUAUUUCCCGAAAACACGUUUAACAAAAAACUACCAAACACCCUCAGAAAUCAUCAAAGAAACGACGCAUGAUAGGAGUUCGAUCUUGGUCUCAAGAGUUGGCCGACUAAAAAAUAAAACAAAAAGAAAACAAUGAAUUAAUUCGGACACGAAAUCCGACCAGAUCGAGAUAUAAAACAAAGCAAAAGCUACGUUUAUCAUCAGUAGGUGGCAAAUGAAAAAUGGGUCUCAGAAUUGAUCGUCAAACUUUCCGGUUUAAUUAACGCGGUUUAGAAUUUAACCAAUCGAGUGAAGUUAUCCAAGUUCCAGUAGUGAACUGCAUAGCAAUUUCUUCCGGCCAGAGAUACACCAGUAGGUGGCAAUCAAAACUGAGCUUCAGACGUGUCAAACCUUGCGAUUUAAACGCGGUUACUGAUUGAUCCGCUUGAAGUCAAGUUUAUACGAAACUUCCACUGAACCUCUUAGCAAUUGCUUCCAGAACUACAAUAGAUGUAGAUUAUCCAGAGUUGGAUUUGUUUCUGGGUUUGUAAAUGGUCAAGUAGCUAGAUAAAACGCGCUGUAUCCUCGUUGGCUGGUCGCUCAUUAUCAUCUUAUCAGUCGAUCGGCUGCUGGCUAGCUCUCACCACUGGUAUCACACGUAUCGCAAUAUUCUUAUGAAAAUUUUCUCUAUGGAAAAUAACGUUUUAUUCUUCACGCACAGUGCUUCCAUGCAUUCUUGUUACCACAACAUUUGCAGACUUCAAUCACUUCAUUGUCAACACAACAUUUACAGAAUCUAUUAUGUGUACCAUCGUAACGACCAACAUUAUAAUCUGAUUCUAUAGAGCUAUCUGCUGAAUAAUAAUCUUCUUCUUUAAGGCUAUCUUCUUCUGUAUCACUAUCUUCUUCGGCACAGCUACCCUUAUCUUCCUUUUGCUACAGCACCAAAGCUGAGCCAUCAUUGGAUCCAUCAUCUACCAUUGAGGCCCCCUUGUCCCAGCGCGCCUUGUUCUGUUCCCAGUAGCGUGCUCGUCGAAUUCUUCCUUUCGGCGCUUCGUCUGUUGUUCACCCUCCACGCUCGGCCGGACGGUCCAAAGUAGGAUUCUGGUUCUCGUCGUCGGUCAGUUGUGUUUAGGUUAGCUAGCCGUGUGCCUUUUUUUCUUUCAGAGAUUCAUAACAAACUAACGAAGUUGCUGUAUGGAAAUGGAGUGACAUAUUAUGGCCCAUUUGGGCUUUGCCCUCGGACUUUGGAUUCCUUUCUUAGUUAGGCCCUGUCAACAUUUGGGCAUAGCUGUAUUUGGGUACAUGUAUGCAAUUAUUUCAGGAAAAAGAUAUAGUUAGAAGUUCGUCACAAUAUGUACACAUAUUGGCACUAUUUGUCUUUGUUAUAUAUAUAUAUAUAUAUAUACAGCCCCCUUCUAUUGAGGGAUCCCUAUUUUUGGCCACUUUCUAGGGAUAGGGCAUUACACCACUUCCCAAUUGAAUUUUUACAUCUCCACCGUUCAUAUCUUAGGUCUAUAUGAGUAGAUCACCUCUACAAAAUUUCAUAUGAUUUGGUGAUCGUUAAGACUUUCAAAAGUUUGAUUUAGUUUUAAUGAUUUUGAACGGUCCAGCUUAUGUCAAACUAAAACCGUUGAAGGUCAUUAAAACUAAAUUGAACUUUUGAAAGCCUUAACGAUNNNNNNNNNNNNNNNNNNNNUAUAUAUAUAUAUAUAUAUAUAUAUAUAUAUAUAUAUAUAUAUAUAUAUUUUGCCCUCAUCCUCAAUAAUCCAUUGAGCAUACAAUGAGUGUGUGUGUGUGACUGCUCCAUCAGCAAAACCAUAAUAUUGUUCAAUGGGGAAGCCAAGGAAUACCUAUUCUCAAUGGGGAAAGCGACAAGGGUGGACAAUAACAUUGUUCAUAAAAUGAGCUGAGUUUCGAAAGAGAGACUAGUUGGUCUUUUACCGUAGAAGAAGAGCAAACGGACAAAAAAAAAAUAGAGAUACCGACCAAAAAAAUAAAGGAAAGAGUGAUAGAAAUUUUCGACCGUUGAAAAAAUAUGCAGCUGUGCUGCUCAUAUAUUUCCCCGUAAGCCAACAGGGUCCCAAAUGCCGACGUACAUUCAGGGUCGAGUUUUCUGAAAUUGGCUCAUUUUCGUAGAACUGAAUCCCCUGUACACGUCUAUUCAUCUCUCAAGCUCUGGUUUUUUUCUGGUCGUUGCUGUGCUGCCUGUGCAGGGAUCCCACGGUUAAUUUCUAAGAAGAUUAUGAGAAACUGCGUGCAUGGUCGAUCGAGGUGUGAGAGAAGAUUAAACGACCAGAAUUUGUUGCUGAUCCAUUGAGUUUGAUAAUUUAUUCUCUAAUUUGUUAAUGUAUAUCUCUUCUGAUCUACGUACCUAUAUAUCCCAAAUUUCUGUUCAUCUUCUUCGAUGGUCUUCAAAGUCAAAUAACAUUUGAUUACAGAGCCAUUUCAGAUUUUAGAUUAAACUCGUAAUAUGAAAGCACAUACAACUGAUACAAGAAAGAAACCUCCGUGAAGUUAGACUAUAAUCAGCCAAAAGUUUCUUUUCGUUUUCCAGAAAGAUUUAGGAGGAGCAAUCCCAGAAGCAAUCACGUAUCAUUCAAAGUAAACCACAAAACUCGUUGGUAGGAAAGGUUGGUUCAAUUCCAUAAUAAACUCUUCAUAGAACGAAACUAAUUGGCAAUAGUGUUGCUUUGACAUUAGGGUUACAUGUUUCAAUACCCCAAUUCUCAACAAUAAGUUCUUGUAAACUACACAAAUGAAGUUGCUAUCGUAGUUCAUAUUUACUUAGAUUUAUUUUUUCUUGCUGAGAGAUAUAUAUGAUUUCAGAAAUUACUGAAGUAAUUAUUUUUGAAUUAAUGUUCACUUAUCAAUUAAGUUGAUCCGUUCAUGGUAAGGUUCUCCCUAAUCUCCCUUCAAUUUCCCAGCCCCAAAAUUAUACAAGCAACUCACACCCUCAACCUGUAUAUAUAGAUAUAGGCAUGUGUGACCUGGGUAUAAACCACAAGUUAUAAGAUAUUCUUCACGUAUACAGAAAAUAAAUCACAAAGCAAUUCAUCAUGUCUCAGCCAAAUGCUCAAGCCUGUCUAGCCAAAGGUGGAUCAAAUUCAAAUCCACCAGUUAGUCGGCCUCCGGCGACUCAGCCAAAUGCUCAAGCCUGUCUAGCCAAAAACAGAGGGAGAUAAUUAAGCGCAUACAAAGUGCUGUGCGCAACAGAACUUUAAGCUACUUGUUUGUGUUUCUGUGUCAUAUGUUGCUCAUACAUAUAUAGUAAAUAAGGGGUUCAUUUCAUACCAUCUUUCCUCUGGUAUUCUCUUCGUUCCAAAUAAUUUACCAUUUCUAUCUCAGUCUCCAUUCGGCCAUCGAUCUCCGAAAGAAAUUACCAAAAGGUGAAGGUAGUUAGCAAAUGGGCCACAUAUAUAGUAGAAUUAUUAUACAAUUGUUUCUAUUCAUUGUAGAAAUUGAUGUACUCUAUUGAAUUUAAUUUUUGUUUCAGUUGUACUAUGGUAUAAGAAUAAUACUUGUAAUAUAUUAUUAGAUUUUGUUUAUAUAUGACAGAUUAAUCUUCAGUUUUGGAUUUUUAAAUUGUGCCCUUGUUCUUCAAUUUU